AUUGAACGCUGGCGGCAGGCCUAACACAUGCAAGUCGAACGAGUGGCGGACGGGUGAGUAAUGUCUGGGCAACUGCCUGAUGGAGGGGGAUCACUAAUGGAAACGGUCACUAAUACCGCAUACCAUCAGAUGUGCCCAGAUGGGAGUAGCUAGUUGGUGGGGUAACGGCUCACCAAGGCGACGAUCCCUAGCUGGUCGGAGAGGAUGACCAGCCAAACUGGAACUGGGACACGGUCCAGACUCCUACGGGAGGCAGCAGUGGGGAAUAGUGGACAAUGGGCGCAAGCCUGAUGCAGCCAUGCCGCGUGUAUGAAGAAGGCCUUCGGGUUGUAAAGUACUUUCAGCGGGGAGGCGUUACCCGCAGAAGAAGCACCGGCUAACUCCGUGCCAGCAGCCGCGGUAAUAC
rnacentral:rRNA from 1 species